GUUAGAAAUUCUUUACCUGCUCUGGCGGCAAUACUAAAACGUGUUUGUUACAAACAAAUUUAUUCCACAGCAGUUAAGAAACGGAUGAACAAAGUGAAGGGAUUACAUUGUAAACAAGAUGUAAUAAAUUAAACAAGAGUGCCAUUCAUUAUCAUCUGCAUUCUGCAAUACACGGAAAUUCUCAAAAGUGAUUAAAACUUAUUAAAACCGUUACCAAUAUGGCCGUAAAACUAUCAGCCAUUUUGUUCGCAUAUUUUGCGAUUAUUAGUGUUACCACACUGUUAACAGAAGCAAAUCCAAUGAAAGAAAAACCCACAGUUGACAAAAACAUCAAAACAUCAAUUACUGAUGAAAUGGAUACGUCCCCACAAUCAAACGACCAAGAGGAGGAUAUAAAAGGAGCUGAAUCGGCAUAUUCGCCAUAUUAUUUCGGAUAUCCGUAUUAUUCACUUUAUUCGCCAUAUUCACAUUUAUACAAACCAUACUUGCAUUAUCCUUAUCAUUAUCCAUACUUGAUCGGCAAAUAAUUUUAAUUUUCUGUGUAUUUAAGCUUAAAAUUUAAUGAUGUGUUCAUAAAUUAAUGAUAACUUUGAAUUGCACAUGUUAAUCUCCAGUAAAAUGAUUAAAUAUGUUUAGUAAGUUU